CAUGGAGGCAAUCGAACCAAAGAAACUGUUGGAAAAAGUAAAGCAGGAGGUCAACCUCAAAGACUUAAAAGUGAGGGUAUUGUGUCAAGGAGGUUACUUUAUCUGGCAAUACUUUCCAAUGACAACGAACCCCACUUGUAUUCAUUUUUCCAAGCAGAGCGGAUGUGUCUUUGCUAGUUACUGUAGUUUUUGUAUAUCCAUGUGCAUCCAAAUAAAGGAAUAGUAUUUAAGGUUCUUAGUUGUAUUUCUUCCAACAAAGAUCACUCAAAAGGAGUAACAUAUCAGGUUAUGGGCACAGCACUGCAU
rnacentral:lncRNA from 1 species